rnacentral:RNase_P_RNA from 1 species
AGAGUCGGCUGGGCAAUCGCUGUUUAGUGUUUCGAUACUAUUCGGAGGAAAGUCCGGGCUCCGCAGGGUAGAGUGCCAGGUAACGCCUGGGAGGCGCGAGCCUACGGAAAGUGCAGCAGAAAAUAUACCGCCCGGCCGCAAGGUCAGGUAAGGGUGAAAAGGUGCGGUAAGAGCGCACCGCGCGAAUGGUAACAUCUCGUGGCAAUGUAAACCCCACUUGGAGCAAGACCAAAUAGGGAUCCAAUGCGCGGCCCGCGCAGGAUUCGGGUAGGUCGCUAUAGGUGCAAAGCGAUUUGCAUCACAGAUGAAUGAUUGUCCUCGACAGAACCCGGCUUACAGGCCGACUCUCACU